rnacentral:rRNA from 1 species
CCCUUAGAUGUUCUGGGCCGCACGCGCGCUACACUGAUGCAUUCAACGAGCCUAUCCUUGACCGACAGGUCCGGGUAAUCUUUGAAUCUGCAUCGUGACGGGGAUAGAUUAUUGCAAUUAUUAAUCUUCAACGAGGAAUGCCUAGUAGGCGCAAGUCAUCAGCUUGCGUCGAUUACGUCCCUGCCCUUUGUACACAUCGCCCGUCGCUCCUACCGAUUGGGUGUGCUGGUGAAAUGUUCGGAUCGGCCGUUUGUCGCGGUUUCCGCGGCUCGUGGCUGAGAAGUUCAUUAAACCCUCCCACCUAGAGGAAGGAGAAGUCGUAACA